rnacentral:rRNA from 1 species
GGGAUUCCCUAGUAACGGCGAGUGAAGCGGCACCAGCUCAAAUUUGAAAUCUGGCCCUCGUGGUCCGAGUUGUAAUUUGUAGAGGAUGCUUUUGGUGCGGUGCCUUCCGAGUUCCCUGGAACGGGACGCCAGAGAGGGUGAGAGCCCCGUACGGUUGGACACCUACCCUAUAUAUAGCUCCUUCGACGAGUCGAGUAGUUUGGGAAUGCUGCUCUAAAUGGGAGGUAAAUUUCUUCUAAAGCUAAAUACCGGCCAGAGACCGAUAGCGCACAAGUAGAGUGAUCGAAAGAUGAAAAGCACUUUGAAAAGAGGGUUAAAUAGCACGUGAAAUUGUUGAAAGGGAAGCGUUUGCGACCAGACUUUUUCCAGGCGGAUCAUCCGGUGUUCUCACCGGUGCACUUCGCCUGGUUUAGGCCAGCAUCGGUUCUCUUAGGGGGAUAAAGGCUUGGGGAACGUAGCUCCUUCGGGAGUGUUAUAGCCCCUUGCGUAAUACCCUUCGGGGGACCGAGGAUCGCGCUCUGCAAGGAUGCUGGCGUAAUGGUCGUCAACGACCCGUCUUGAAACACGGACCAAGGAGUCGAACAUUUGUGCGAGUGUUUGGGUGUUAAACCCUCACGCGUAAUGAAAGUGAACGGAGGUGAGAGCCCUUACGGGUGCAUCAUCGACCGAUCCUGAUGUCUUCGGAUGGAUUUGAGUAAGAGCAUAACUGUUCGGACCCGAAAGAUGGUGAACUAUGCGUGGAUAGGGUGAAGCCAGAGGAAACUCUGGUGGAGGCUCGCAGCGGUUCUGACGUGCAAAUCGAUCGUCAAAUCUGCGCAUGGGGGCGAAGACUAUCGACCUCAUAUGCGCCCU